AAAGGGCUAAUUAAUUAAAAAAGUUACUGUGGUAAAAUUAUUUUAAAUAAUUAAUUUGCAAUGAAAUGUUAUUCGUUUUUAAAUAUAUCUAGUUUUUUAAGAAAAAAAUUUAAUUUUAAAUUUUUAGGGAAGAAAUAAUUAAUUAAUUAAUUAUUUUCGGAAAAAAUUUUAUAUUUUAGGGGAUAAGCUUUAAAUUAAAAAUUUAUAAUAAUUUAAAUUAAAUUAUUGAAAAUUAUAUAAUUUAAAUUGUUAAUAAAAUUUAAUUUGUUAUAAAUAAUUUCAUUAAAAUAAAAAUUUAAUUUAAUUUAAUUUUUUAUUAAAAAAUAUUUUAAAAUUAAUUAAAAUUAGAUAUAAUGAUAAAAUUAGUAUAUAUUUAUUAAAGUAAAUUUUAUUUUUAGUUUAAUUUAAUUAAUAAAAAGGAAUUCGGCAAAUACUUAUAUUCACUUGUUUAACAAAAACAUGUCUUUUUGUAAUUAAUUUAAAGUCUAAUCUGCCCACUGAUUUAAUUAUUAAAGGGCUGCAGUAUAUUGACUGUACAAAGGUAGCAUAAUCAUUAGUCAUUUAAUUGAUGACUUGUAUGAAAGAUUGGAUGAAAUAUUAACUGUCUCUUUAUUAAUAUAUAAAAUUUAAUUUUUUAAUUAAAAAGUUAAAAUAAAUUAAAAAGACGAGAAGACCCUAUAGAGUUUGAUAAAUAAAUUUAUUUAAAGUUAUUUAUAAUUUUAUAUUCUAAAAUAAAUUUAUUUAUUUUGUUGGGGUGACAAAAAAAUAAAAUUAACUUUUUUUAAUUUAUAAACAUAAAUAAAUGAAAAUUUGAUCCAAUUUUAUUGAUUAAAAGAAAAAAUUACCUUAGGGAUAACAGCGUAAUUUUUUUUUUUAGUACAAAUAAGAAAAAGAGUUUGCGACCUCGAUGUUGGAUUAAGAUAAAAUUUAAAUGCAAAAGUUUAAAAUUUUG
rnacentral:rRNA from 1 species